UUGAACGCUGGCGGCAGGCCUAACACAUGCAAGUCGAGCGGAAACGACAUUAUUGAAUCUUCGGAGGAUUUAAUGGGCGUCGAGCGGCGGACGGGUGAGUAAUGCCUAGGAAAUUGCCUUGAUGUGGGGGAUAACCAUUGGAAACGAUGGCUAAUACCGCAUAAUGCCUACGGGCCAAAGAGGGGGACCUUCGGGCCUCUCGCGUCAAGAUAUGCCUAGGUGGGAUUAGCUAGUUGGUGAGGUAAUGGCUCACCAAGGCGACGAUCCCUAGCUGGUCUGAGAGGAUGAUCAGCCACACUGGAACUGAGACACGGUCCAGACUCCUACGGGAGGCAGCAGUGGGGAAUAUUGCACAAUGGGCGAAAGCCUGAUGCAGCCAUGCCGCGUGUAUGAAGAAGGCCUUCGGGUUGUAAAGUACUUUCAGUUGUGAGGAAGGGUGUGUAGUUAAUAGCUGCGCAUCUUGACGUUAGCAACAGAAGAAGCACCGGCUAACUCCGUGCCAGCAGCCGCGGUAAUAC
rnacentral:rRNA from 1 species